UACGUAGGGGGCAAGCGUUGUCCGGAUUUAUUGGGCGUAAAGAGCGUGUAGGCGGCCAAGCAGGUCAGCUGUGAAAACUCGAGGCUCAACCUCGAGACGUCGGUUGAAACCGUUUGGCUAGAGUCCGGAAGAGGAGAGUGGAAUUCCCGGUGUAGCGGUGAAAUGCGCAGAUAUCGGGAAGAACACCGGUGGCGAAGGCGGCCUGCUGGGCAGUAGCUGACACUGAGGCGCGACAGCGUGGGGAGCAAACAGG
rnacentral:rRNA from 1 species